UUCUCCUCUAUCACAUUUUAAGCCUCAGUGUGACAAGAUAAUCCGUGAGCAGUGGUUGCUAUGAAUCUCGAAAAUCGGGGUCCUAAGGAAUAAGUAUUUUAAAUAUUCUAUGUAUUUUAUUAAGUGUAACUUUGCCUAAGUAAACGAAUGGAGUAUUGAUGGGUGAACCAAAGUGCAUGGCAAAAGUGCAAUAAACUCAAAGCAAGCUUUUGAUAAAUAUAUUUUGCAUUCCGAUACGCACACAACGAUAGACUGAAGAAAUAGAUUUGGAAGUGAAACAAAGAAAAAUGCUGAUUUAUUAUGCGAAAUACGCAUUUCUCUUUUGGUUUUUCGUGGGAAGCAAUAGAGGCGAAAUUCUGCUGAUGGACCAAACCACCCACGAUGAGAUGCUGCUCAAUGUGACCGCCUGCACCCAGAAUUGCCUGGAAAUGGGCCACAAGGACUUUCAAGGAUGCUUUAAGGACUGCAGGGUCAAUGGAACCGCUCCGGGAGCUUUACGCAAAGUGCAGGAUAAUUUCCAGCUGCAGAUGCUUUGUCGCACGGAGUCGGAGCUAGUUUUCCAAAUAGAUUGGGUGCAGCACAGCAGGGGAAAUGAGUCGGCUCCAAAUGUCACUUACAUAAUCAAGGUGAAUGCUGUCGAGGACGAUAUUACGAGGACAAAACUAUACCUGUCCGAUGAAAACAUUCUAAUCCUGCCGAGCCUGAUGUCCAACUCCAGCCACAAUAUCACAGCUCUGGCGGUGCACAGGGAUGGGAGUUACUCGCUGAUAGCCAAGGAGCAGACCUUCGCCACCCUCAUACGUGGAUAUCAACCCAGCAAAAUAGGAGCUGUGAAUUUGCUACGAUUUGUCCCCAAGCCAUAUGACUUGCACCACAUUGCUGCCGAGAUUGGGUGGGAGCCAUCAGCGGAACGCAACUGCUAUUUUGACCUGGUGUCCUAUUCAACCAACAGCGUGAAUUUAGACGACCUGCAAGAGGUUUGGUUCCGGGAUCCAAAGAAGCUUUACAAGCACACACUGGACAACUUGGAGUUCGACAAGCACUAUCUCAUAGGCGUGAAAACGGUGAACAAAUUAAACAGACUGGAGAGCGAAUUAAAAUGGCUGACAGUGGUGGCUCCAAGUUGUUUGGACUGGCAUCCCUUCAACUACACACUCUGCGCUCCUUAUAAGCCGGAGAAUCUGAAUGUGAAGCAGGAGCAAUAUCUGCCGAAUACCUUAGCUCUGAAUAUUAGCUGGUCGCGACCCAGUCACCUCCCAGAUAACUACACACUCCGCAUCUUCGAUCUGUUCACGGGAAGCAAGGAGGUUAACUUUACGCUUGACCGAAACAGAAGCCACUUCUUCGUACCCAGGAUCACUGUGCUGGGCUCCCGUUUUGAGGUUCACUUGGUGGCACAAUCGACAGGCGGCAAGAAUGCCACCGACUUGACCCUAGAUAAACUGCCGCGUGAUGUCUUGCUGAGUGAAAGCAACCUGGUCAAGUUGGUACUUUUAAUUAUUGUGCCCUUGUGCUGCAUUUGUAUGCUGUGCUCCCUGACCUUCUGCAGACGGAAUCGGACGGAUACUCAGGCAUUGCAAAUGGAAGCCAAGGAUGCUAUGGCCUCUGACUUCCACCUCUCGCUGAUGGACAGCAGCGGCCUGAUGGUCACCUUGUCGGCAAACGGGAGCCUGGAUAUAGUGGACGAGCUGGAAGUGGAACCCCAUUCGGUGCUCCUCCAAGAUGUCCUGGGCGAGGGAGCCUUCGGUUUGGUGCGACGCGGAAUCUACAAAAAGCGCCAAGUGGCUGUCAAGUUGUUGAAAGAUGAGCCCAAUGACGAGGACGUGUAUGCGUUUAAGUGCGAGAUACAAAUGCUCCAAGCCGUGGGCAAGCAUCCGAAUAUUGUGGGUAUCGUUGGGUACUCCACCCGCUUUAGCAAUCGAAUGAUGUUGCUAAUUGAAUAUUGUAGCCUCGGAAGCCUGCAGAGUUUCUUACGUGAGGAGUGGAAGUUUCGGCAGGAGCAAAGUGCAGUUUGUCUCAAAAAGAACCUUGGGCAGGAUGUUGACAAACGACGACUCUACCAACCCACCAGCAGUCCCAUCCAUGAUCUCAUAGAAGAUAUAAACAUCUCCAUGCUAUCCACUGUGGAGGAGGAAAGUGAAACGGAUCAGACACAAACAAGCGGUCGAGUUGAGACCUACACCCUGACUCGAAUCACCAAUUCAGCAGACAACAAGGGUUAUGGGAUGGAGGAUAUUGAAAACAUUGGAGACAGUCAUAUUCCCAAAGACUUAAAGGCUCCAAAGAAUGAGUCAACCCAGGAGCUAAAAACGGGGAUUAACAGAGAAACCAAACAAAAAUCCAGGUUCGAGACCGAGAAGCGAACCUUUGAGAACAAGGAAUACUUUGAUUGUCUAGACUCAGAAUAUUCAAGGCCCAGAGUGCCUCUAAAAUAUGCAGAUUUGCUGGACAUUGCUCAACAGGUGGCAGUGGGAAUGGAAUUUCUGGCCCAAAAAAAAGUUGUGCAUCGGGAUCUGGCUGCUCGAAAUGUGCUGAUCUCUCUAGAUCGCAGCAUUAAGAUUGCAGAUUUUGGGCUAAGUCGGGAUGUCUACCAUGAGAAUGUGUACCGAAAGUCCGGAGGAAGUGGGAAGCUACCCAUUAAAUGGCUGGCCCUGGAAUCGCUGACCCACCAGGUGUACACCAGCCAGAGCGAUGUCUGGUCCUUUGGGGUGCUGCUCUAUGAGAUCACCACGCUUGGUGGAAUGCCGUACCCAUCGGUGUCACCCAGUGAUAUCCUGCAACUACUACGACAAGGUCACCGGAUGAAGCAACCUGAAGGAUGUUCGGAUGAAAUGUUUACGAUGAUGAAGAGUUGCUGGAAUUCCGUGCCAUCAUAUAGACCCACAUUUUCCAGCCUCAAACACAGACUUGGAGCAAUGAUUUCAGCCACAAACGAUGUGCCAGAACGGCUAAAACAACUGCAAGCUUCAACUGAAACCAAAUCAAAGUCCUGUGACAAUCUCCACAGUAAAGUGGAACAACUGCCCUGUGAGGAGGAGCCAUACUUGAAGCCUUUAAAUUAAUCUCCAUUAGCUAUGGAAAGUUGAAGAUUGAGUGCAAUACAAGAUUGUUGGAAAACAAAUGAUGUCCUAGAACUGUAGUUCCAAUUCAGACAACGCUGACAAGCAGAUAACCGGCUUCUACUUAUAAAUAAAUAUUAAAGAUAGAUUUUAUCCGAUUUCGAUCAUAAAUCCUUUACCCACAAAUUAGACAAUGCACUUCUUGUCAUCGAUUUUGAAGCUAAUGAUCCUCGAAACCACAACUUUUUGGCAGAGGCUUGCUAUUUCGACAUGAUUGUCCACACCUG